GAUGAACGCUGGCGGCGUGCCUAAUACAUGCAAGUCGAGCGAAGCGGGGAAGGGUGAGUAACACGUGGAUAACCUCCUAUAAGACUGGGAUAACUUUGGGAAACAGGAGCUAAACCGGAUAAUUAUAGCAGGAUCCGCGCUGCAUUAGCUAGUUGGUAAGGUAACGGCUUACCAAGGCAACGAUGCAUAGGCGGACUGAGAGGGUGAUCGGCCACCCUGGAACUGGGACACGGUCCAGACUCCUACGGUAGGCAGCAGUGGGGAAUCUUCCGCAAUGGGCGAAAGCCUGACGCAGCAACGCCGCGUGAGUGAUGAAGGCCUUCGGGUCGUAAAACUCUGUUAUUAGGGAAGCGGUACCUAAUCAGAAAGCCACGGCUAACUACGUGCCAGCAGCCGCGGUAAUAC
rnacentral:rRNA from 1 species